CCGGCGGGCGGGCGGGCAAAUGGGGCCGAGGACUCUGGCGGGGGCCGGCCGCGGAGCCCCCCCGCCCCGGUCUGGAGAGGCCGGUUAGCCGUCCCGCGCGUCUGCUGAGCGCCCGCUGUUUGGAGCCCUCUGGGUCCUGGGGCUUGGCGGCGAGGGGGAGCUGAGGCGCCUCGCAGGAGGAGCUAGUAAACGGGUGUAGACUGCCCACGUAGAGUGCCAGGCAGUGACCUGGGCCUCGGGAGGAGACCGACCGAGGGCUGGGGCGGUGGAGCGGGGAGGCCGCCCGCGGGGCCCUGAGGACAGGAUGACCGAGAGCCUUGCUUCUCGGGUGGCAGAAACCGGCACGAGACUGAUCAGGACGUUCUAUCAGGAGGGGCACGGCACACCGGUUGAAGGAGGAGAGGCAUCCGUGUGGCCAGGAGCUUGGGGUCUCCCCAUUCCAGUCCAGGACUUCUCAGCUAGUGGUCUGAGCUGGGGUCACCACCCCUCCCCUGCCCUGUCUACUGGAGUGCACACCCGGUGCGGAGCUCUGAGCUCAGUCCUCACACCAACCAUUCUGUCUGGCUUAGGGUGUGGGCUGCAUCCUUCACAGGCGCCAUGCCCGAGUGGGAGCCAGUGAUGGCCACAGAAAGCUGGAGACCGGCCUUGUGGAGGGGGGCUC